rnacentral:tRNA from 1 species
AAAGUAUUAGUUAAAUAAAAUAACAUUAACUUGUCAAAUUAAAAUUACUUACAGUAUACUUUA